rnacentral:lncRNA from 1 species
UUCGGAUAGGUCGAAAAGUUACAAUCGCAACACUCAGAACCUACAUGAAUAUGGUUACUGUAUAAUUCAUCCUUUUGACCCCUGUAGGAUGACUCAGGGUUAAACUGUCAACCCUGAUCAAAUCAUCCGAAUUGUGCUCAACUCAAACAGUCCUGUGACUCCUCACAAGGAAUACCCUGGCCAAGGUUUUGCUAAAUUGAAACAUGACUAUAUAUAGCUCCUAAACUGGAGUGGUCAAUCCCAUCUGGACACACGCACCGACAAGUCAAGUACUUGACUACACCCAGCAACCUUUCGUCACUGAAUUAGAAAUUCAGGUAGUCCAGUGCCUAAGUGCAGUGAGUUGCUUGCAAGUCACCAUUGUGGUCUCAGGUCGGAGGGACAUUUAUACCCAUAUUCCAUCGAAGCAAAUCUUGACAGCAGAAAUAGCUCC